UCGUGCUAGACGGGGAGCUAGCGGUGCCCUGUUACCCGAAAUCCGCUUAUGCGGGGUCGAAAGUCCUCCAGGAGAACGGCCCCCGGUCUUGCUUUUCCAUUACCUGGGAGAGAAGGUGGACCUCACGUGACAGACGUUUGUGAACCCCGUCAGGUCCGGAAGGAAGCAGCGGUAAGCAAAGCCGGCUGUGUCGUGAUGAUAUCUACCUUACUCUCCGGGCGAUGAAAGCAGGAAACAGGUCGCUCGAAUGGGGAUGCACGG
rnacentral:SRP_RNA from 1 species